AUGAUAGAAUAGACAAGCUGUUAGAACAGCCCUUGGUGCUUCACUUCUUUCGCCAAGCAUAUUACAAACCUUAGUAGAACUAAGUGUUAAAGGAGACACU
rnacentral:ncRNA from 1 species